GUGGCUCAGUGGUAGAGCGCUUGCCUCACAUGCAUAAGGCCCUGGGUUCAAUUCCUCAGC
rnacentral:tRNA from 1 species